UACGAAGGGGGCGAGCGUUGUUCGGAAUUACUGGGCGUAAAGGGCGCGUAGGCGGCCAUCUUAGUCAGGCGUGAAAGCCCUGGGCUCAACCUGGGAGGUGCGUCUGGGACGGGGUGGCUAGAGAUCGGGAGAGGAGCGUGGAAUUCCCAGUGUAGAGGUGAAAUUCGUAGAUAUUGGGAAGAACACCGGUGGCGAAGGCGGCGCUCUGGACCGAGACUGACGCUGAGGCGCGAAAGCGUGGGGAGCAAAC
rnacentral:rRNA from 1 species